GUGCACGCUGGCGGUAGGCCUAACACAUGCAGGUCGAACGGCAGCACAGUAAGAGCUUGCUCUUACGGGUGGCGAGUGGCGGACGGGUGAGGAAUACAUCGGAAUCUACUUUUUCGUGGGGGAUAACGUAGGGAAACUUACGCUAAUACCGCAUACGACCUACGGGUGAAAGCAGGGGAUCUUCGGACCUUGCGCGAUUGAAUGAGCCGAUGUCGGAUUAGCUAGUUGGCGGGGUAAAGGCCCACCAAGGCGACGAUCCGUAGCUGGUCUGAGAGGAUGAUCAGCCACACUGGAACUGAGACACGGUCCAGACUCCUACGGGAGGCAGCAGUGGGGAAUAUUGGACAAUGGGCGCAAGCCUGAUCCAGCCAUACCGCGUGGGUGAAGAAGGCCUUCGGGUUGUAAAGCCCUUUUGUUGGGAAAGAAAAGCAGCAGGUUAAUACCCCGCUGUUCUGACGGUGCCCAAAGAAUAAGCACCGGCUAACUUCGUG
rnacentral:rRNA from 1 species